GGGGGGGGGGGGGGGGGGGGGGGGGGCGGGGGGGGCGGGGGGGGGGGCGAGGAGCUUGCGGGGCUGGUGUUGGGGGGGGGCGGGGGGGGGGCGCGGGGGUAACCGCGCUGUAGGCCUGGGAUAACUUCGGGAGACCGUAGCUAGUACCGGGUAAGAGUUUGAACCGCGUGGUGCAAGAGUGAAAGACGGUCUUGCUGUCACUGAUAGAUGUAGCCGCUCUGCAUUAGCUAGUUGGUAAGGUAACGGCUUACCAAGGCAACGAUGCAUAGCCGACCUGAGAGGGUGAUCGGCCACACUGGAACUGAGACACGGUCCAGCCUCCUACGGGAGGCAGCAGUAGGGAAUCUUCCGCAAUGGGCGAAAGCCUGACGGAGCAACGCCGCGUGAGUGAUGAAGGUCUUCGGAUCGUAAAACUCUGUUAUUAGGGAAGAACAUAUGUGUAAGUAACUGUGCACAUCUUGACGGUACCUAAUCAGAAAGCCACGGCUAACUACGUG
rnacentral:rRNA from 1 species